CAACAGGGAUUGCCCUAGUAACGGCGAGUGAAGCGGCAACAGCUCAAAUUUGAAAUCUGGCUCUUUCAGAGUCCGAGUUGUAAUUUGCAGAGGGCGCUUUGGCUUUGGCAGCGGUCCAAGUUCCUUGGAACAGGACGUCACAGAGGGUGAGAAUCCCGUACGUGGUCGCUAGCUAUUGCCGUGUAAAGCCCCUUCGACGAGUCGAGUUGUUUGGGAAUGCAGCUCUAAAUGGGAGGUAAAUUUCUUCUAAAGCUAAAUAUUGGCCAGAGACCGAUAGCGCACAAGUAGAGUGAUCGAAAGAUGAAAAGCACUUUGGAAAGAGAGUCAAACAGCACGUGAAAUUGUUGAAAGGGAAGCGCUUGCAGCCAGACUUGCUUGCAGUUGCUCAUCCGGGCUUUUGCCCGGUGCACUCUUCUGUAGGCAGGCCAGCAUCAGUUUGGGCGGUGGGAUAAAGGUCUCUGUCACGUACCUCUCUUCGGGGAGGCCUUAUAGGGGAGACGACAUACCACCAGCCUAGACUGAGGUCCGCGCAUCUGCUAGGAUGCUGGCGUAAUGGCUGUAAGCGGCCCGUCUUGAAACACGGACCAAGGAGUCUAACAUCUAUGCGAGUGUUUGGGUGUCAAGCCCGAGCGCGUAAUGAAAGUGAACGGAGGUGGGAACCCGCAAGGGUGCACCAUCGACCGAUCCUGAAGUUUACGGAAGGAUUUGAGUAAGAGCAUGGCUGUUGGGACCCGAAAGAUGGUGAACUAUGCUUGAAUAGGGUGAAGCCAGAGGAAACUCUGGUGGAGGCUCGCAGCGGUUCUGACGUGCAAAUCGAUCGUCAAAUUUGGGCAUAGGGGCGAAAGACUAAUCGA
rnacentral:rRNA from 3 species